rnacentral:rRNA from 1 species
UGAGCUCGAUGAGUAGGGCGGGACACGUGGUAUCCUGUCUGAAUAUGGGGGGACCAUCCUCCAAGGCUAAAUACUCCUGACUGACCGAUAGUGAACCAGUACCGUGAGGGAAAGGCGAAAAGAACCCCGGCGAGGGGAGUGAAAAAGAACCUGAAACCGUGUACGUACAAGCAGUGGGAGCACGCUUAGGCGUGUGACUGCGUACCUUUUGUAUAAUGGGUCAGCGACUUAUAUUCUGUAGCAAGGUUAACCGAAUAGGGGAGCCGAAGGGAAACCGAGUCUUAACUGGGCGUUAAGUUGCAGGGUAUAGACCCGAAACCCGGUGAUCUAGCCAUGGGCAGGUUGAAGGUUGGGUAACACUAACUGGAGGACCGAACCGACUAAUGUUGAAAAAUUAGCGGAUGACUUGUGGCUGGGGGUGAAAGGCCAAUCAAACCGGGAGAUAGCUGGUUCUCCCCGAAAGCUAUUUAGGUAGCGCCUCGUGAAUUCAUCUCCGGGGGUAGAGCACUGUUUCGGCAAGGGGGUCAUCCCGACUUACCAACCCGAUGCAAACUGCGAAUACCGGAGAAUGUUAUCACGGGAGACACACGGCGGGUGCUAACGUCCGUCGUGAAGAGGGAAACAACCCAGACCGCCAGCUAAGGUCCCAAAGUCAUGGUUAAGUGGGAAACGAUGUGGGAAGGCCCAGACAGCCAGGAUGUUGGCUUAGAAGCAGCCAUCAUUUAAAGAAAGCGUAAUAGCUCACUGGUCGAGUCGGCCUGCGCGGAAGAUGUAACGGGGCUAAACCAUGCAC